CCUACGGGAGGCAGCAGUGAGGAAUAUUGGUCAAUGGGCGGAAGCCUGAACCAGCCAAGUAGCGUGCAGGAUGACGGCCCUACGGGCUGUAAACUGCUUUUAUACGGGAAUAACGCGCCUUUAGUGUAGGGCUUUGCACGUACCGUAUGAAUAAGGACCGGCUAAUUUCGCUCCAGCAGCCGCGGCAAUACGGAAGGUCCGUGCGUUACCCGGAUUUAUUGUGUUUAACGGGAGCGUAGGCCGCAUGUCAAGCGUGCUGUGAAAUGUCCGGGCUCAACCCGGGCCGUGCAGCGCGAACUGGCGUGCUUGAGUGCGCGGAAGGCAGGCGGAAUUCGUCGUGUAGCGGUGAAAUGCUUAGAUAUGACGAAGAACCCCGAUUGCGAAGGCAGCUUGCUGCAGCGGAACUGACGCUAAUGCUCGAAAGCGCGGGUAUCGAACAGGAUUAGAUACCCUAGUAGUC
rnacentral:rRNA from 1 species